UACGUAGGGGGCAAGCGUUGUCCGGAUUCAUUGGGCGUAAAGAGCGUGUAGGCGGUCAGGUGGGUCGGUUGUGAAAACUGGAGGCUCAACCUUCAGACGUCGACCGAAACGAUCUGGCUAGAGUCCGGGAGAGGAGAGUGGAAUUCCUGGUGUAGCGGUGAAAUGCGCAGAUAUCAGGAAGAACACCCGUGGCGAAAGCGGCUCUCUGGAACGGUACUGACGCUGAGACGCGAAAGCGUGGGGAGCGAACAGG
rnacentral:rRNA from 1 species